AGCAGUCUGCAGGCCUGGGCAGGCGGCUCUGUAAAGGAUGCGGGUGCUUUGUGGUGGUGAGAGAGAGGGUAUGCAGCAGACGUGGCCAUAAAUCACCCUCCUCACGGCAGCCCCACACCCACGGACCAGGGCACGGGCACAGGGCCAUCUCCUUCCAGGAGAAGGGCUGGUGUGGGUGGCCAGAUCUGACAGCCCCCAGGCCGUAGGACAGAGCCAGAAGACAGAGCAGUUCCCCCGUUUACCCAUAGCACCAGCCUCACAGUAACAGCCGGCACACAGCACUUAGGCUGCCUGGUGUUCCAGAAGCUUCUGCAGGGGCUCUAUGCUGCACUCAAGGCAUCCCUAAGAGGAGAGCAUUUUGCUGUCCCCACUUUACGGAGAAGGAACGUGGGCUCAGGGUGGUUUAAGGCGUGAAUGAAUGAAGGAGCAAGCAGUAAGCCCCGACAGCAAGGCCACCACAGCCCUCGCCCCACAGGGACGCCUGAGCAAGGACCCAAGCAGGGGACAAGCAGGCUCACCCCGCCCUUGCGGGGCUGACCACGAGGCCCCGUCCGGUGGAACACGCCAUGACGCUUCAGGAGGCUCAUGUAGCUGGCGCCGUAUGGGACAGCGGGGGAGAGAGAAAAUGCACAGCCCAGGGAAUGUGGAGACAGGCCCAGCGCCAGGCAUGGGGGCCGGAAGGAGCAGCCGGGGAGCAGGGGGCAGGGCCUGGAGUCCCGCCUUGCAGGUCAGAGAUCUGAACCUGCCCCAGCCCCAGGACUCUGAGUGCAGCAAGAGGGGAGCCGGGCUGGAGAGUGGGGAGCACGGAGACUGUGGCCUGGAUGGUGCCAGAGCAAACAGGAGAGAGGCUGCCCAACGCAGAGGCUGCAGCACAGACCAGAGGGUCCCGGGGCUGACUGGGUGGGGGCAGCUCCCAGCGAGAGGCCCCUGGGAUUUGGGUAAGUAGAGGCACAUGCAGACUCUGGCCACAGGGCACCUCGCGCACGAGGGGAGUUCACCACACAAGCUGAGCGGAGGGCGGACGCAGGAGAGCAGCGGUUUCUCGGAAGCCAAGGGCGGUCAUGGAGCCCCACGCCACAGCGCUUCCCACGGGGCCACACCAUCCGGUCUGCGGAGGGGGCUGCAUUGCCGGGAAGGACCAUCUGAUUCUGGAUUCCAGCCUCACCCUGGGCCACCGCUGAGUGUCCCAAGUGGCCCCUUAGCCCCCAGGGCCAGGCGGCAUCCCAAUCCCCUAGGGAUGUCUGUGCUCAGAAUGUGGCACACACGCCCCGGCAGGGCCAUCCUCCUCCUCCUGCACCCGCCACAGCCGUGGAUUCGGGGUCUCUAUCGUGGGCAGAAAUUCACACAGUCAAGGUGAGGGUCCCAGGAGCAGCUGUGACCAGGCCCCGGCUGCCAGGGAGAGGGGGUCUUCAGCCGACGGGGCAGACACCCUGAGAUGGACCCUUGUCCAGGGGAGGGCCCUGCCACCCACAAUUCCUUGGCAUUCCUGCACCAGCAGGACGGGCUGAGGGAGGCGCCUCACCAGUGCCAGCGCCCAGCAUCACUGUGCCCCGGUGGAGGGGGAGGCCCUUCCGAGCCUGGGCCUGGGUGUGGAUGAGGGCAGGUCUCUCACCUCUCUGACCUCAGCUUCCUCAACUGGGAAGGGGGGCCACAGCACCCCCUUAGGGGUGAUGAGGAAGUGGGAGCUCAGGGAGGACCCCGGGCAGGGCUGCCUCCUCACCUCUCUUCGGCCUUUGGACACUGGAGCUCAGAGGACCAAGUGAAUGAAUGAAUGACUCGAUCAAUCAACUGAUCCAUGAAUCCAUGGACCCCUGAACAGCUGGACAGCUGGGCUGUGGGCAGGACAGGGGACUCUGGCUGAAGCCGCGUUCAUAUGUGUUCAGCUUUAGGCCUCCACUGUGCCCGGACCAGCGGCCCACUCAGUGAGUCGAGUGUGCACCUGGCACCCCUCUUUCUGGAAAUCCACGAACAAUGGGCUCCCAGCAGAGGACUGAGGCUGAGCAGGCCACUUCCCUGGAGCUGACCCCACAGCUGUGUAGGUACAGGGUGGCCGUGAACACUUAGGGCUCUCUCGGGCUGUGCGCUUCUUGUUCACUGCAAGGAGCAGGGUGUUGGCUCCUGACCAAGCCCUGUCACUGCUGCCCAGCCACACGUGGGGCCCCUUCACCCACCCCUGACCACCUCAUGCAGGUGAAGCCACUGUGGAAACAGCCUGGCAGUCCCUUGAAAAAUGAAGUCAUAAACCCCAGCAAUUGCACUCCUGGGCCUCUGACAGAGCUUGCACGUCCCCUCCAAAGCUCGUGUUAAGCUGUGAGCCCCAGUGCCGGAGGUGGGGCCUGGUGUGUUUGGGUUCUGGGGGUGGAUCCCUCAUGGCUGGGUGCCAUGAACCCACUCACCACAGUGAGUUCUCACGAGAUCUGGUUGUUGAGAAGUGUGUCAUACCUCCCCCACAACUCUCUGUCUUUUGUUCCGGCUCUGGCAAUGUAACAAGCCUGCUCCUCCUUCGCCUUCUGCCAUGACUGUAAGCUUUCUGAGGGCUGACCAGAAGCCCAGCAGAUGCCAGCACCAUGCUUCCUAUACAGCCUGCAGAACCGUGAGCCAGCUAAACCUCUCCUCAUAAAUCACCGAGCCCCAGGUUUAUCUUUACAGCAAUGCAAGACCUGACUAAUACAGCACCAGCUCCCCAAAAUAAAAAGAAAUAUUCAAACAAAUAAGCGCACAGAAGUGUUCCCAGCAGCACUAUUCACAGCAGCCAAAAGGCGGAGGAGCCACAGGCUUGUCAGCUGAUGACAGAUAAAGAAAGCAUGGCCUGUCAUCCCAGCACUUUGGGAGGCCGAGGUGGGUGGAUCACCUGAGGUUGGGAGUUCAAGACCAGCCUGGCCAACAUGGUGAAACCCAGUCUCUACUAAAAAUAUAAAAAUUAGCUGGGUGUGAUGAUGAGC
rnacentral:lncRNA from 1 species